rnacentral:rRNA from 1 species
AUUGAACGCUGGCGGCAUGCUUUACACAUGCAAGUCGAACGGUAACAGGGUGCUUGCACCGCUGACGAGUGGCGAACGGGUGAGUAAUGCGUCGGAACGUGCCGAGUAGUGGGGGAUAACGCAGCGAAAGUUGUGCUAAUACCGCAUACGUACUGAGGUAGAAAGUGGGGGACCUUCGGGCCUCACGCUAUCCGAGCGGCCGACGUCUGAUUAGCUAGUAGGUGAGGUAAAGGCUCACCUAGGCGACGAUCAGUAGCGGGUCUGAGAGGAUAAUCCGCCACACUGGGACUGAGACACGGCCCAGACUCCUACGGGAGGCAGCAGUGGGGAAUUUUGGACAAUGGGCGAAAGCCUGAUCCAGCCAUGCCGCGUGUCUGAAGAAGGCCUUCGGGUUGUAAAGGACUUUUGUCAGGGAGGAAAUCCCUAGUGCUAAUAACACUGGGGGAUGACAGUACCUGAAGAAUAAGCACCGGCUAACUACGUGCCAGCCGCCGCAGUAA